rnacentral:tRNA from 1 species
AAAAAUGAAGGUCUUCCCCUCCGCUCCUAC